GUUUGAUCAUGGCUCAGGAUGAACGUUGGCGGCGUGCCUAACACAUGCAAGUCGAACGGGAAGCCGAUUUCGGUCGGCAGAGAGUGGCGCACGGGUGCGUAACACGUAGCUCACCUGGCCCGAAGCGCGGGAUAACGCACCGAAAGGUGUGCUAAAACCGCAUAAGCUCACGAGUUGUAGAGGCUUGAGAGAAAAACGAUUAGUGCUUCGGGAUGGGGCUGCGGCCCAUCAGCUAGUUGGUGCGGUAACGGCGUACCAAGGCGACGACGGGUAGGGGGCCUGAGAGGGUGGCCCCCCACACUGGGACUGAGACACGGCCCAGACUCCUACGGGAGGCAGCAGUGAGGGAUAUUGCACAAUGGGCGCAAGCCUGAUGCAGCGACGCCGCGUGGGUGAUGAAGGUCUUCGGAUCGUAAAACCCUUUUCUGCGUGACGAUGAUGACGGUAACGCAGGAAUAAGUGUCGGCUAACUACGUGCCAGCAGCCGCGGUAAAACGUAGGACGCAAACGUUAUCCGGAAUUACUGGGCGUAAAGGGCGCGCAGGCGGUUGGAUAAGUGAGGCAUGAAAGCCCCAUGGCUAAACCUGGGGAGGUUGUCUGAGACUGUCUGACUAGAGUACGAUAGAGGGGUGUAGCAUUCCGCGUGUAGUGGUGAAAUGCGUAGAGAUGCGGAGGAAUACCAGAGGCGAAGGCGGCACCCUGGAUCGUAACUGACGCUGAGGCGCGAAAGCAUGGGUAGCGAACGGGAUUAGAAACCCCGGUAGUCCAUGCCGUAAACGAUGUGUACUCGAUGUUCGGCCUACAUUGUAGGUUGAGUGUCUAAGCAAACGCGGUAAGUACACCGCCUGGGGAGUACGGUCGCAAGGCUAAAACUCAAA
rnacentral:rRNA from 1 species